GACGAACGCUGGCGGCGUGCUUAAUACAUGCAAGUCGAGCGAAGUUUUUCUGGUGCUUGCACUAGAAAAACUUAGCGGCGAACGGGUGAGUAACACGUAAAGAACCUGCCUCAUAGACUGGGACAACUAUUGGAAACGAUAGCUAAUACCGGAUAACAGUAUUUCUCGCAUGAGAGAUAUUUAAAAGUUGGUUAUGCUAACACUAUGAGAUGGCUUUGCGGUGCAUUAGCUAGUUGGUGGGGUAAAGGCCCACCAAGACGACGAUGCAUAGCCGACCUGAGAGGGUGAUCGGCCACACUGGGACUGAGACACGGCCCAGACUCCUACGGGAGGCAGCAGUAGGGAAUCUUCCGCAAUGGGCGAAAGCCUGACGGAGCAACGCCGCGUGAGUGAAGAAGGAUUUCGGUUCGUAAAGCUCUGUUGUUAGGGAAGAAUGGAUAUGUAGUAACUAUACAUAUAAGAGACGUACCUAACCAGAAAGCCACGCAU
rnacentral:rRNA from 1 species